AGAGGAGCUCACAAAACUCAUCUACGAGGCCAGUGGGCAGGACAUCAGCAUUGCCGUCCUCACGCAGGAGAUUGUGGUUUACCUGGCCAUGUAUGUCAGGGCACAGCCCAGCCUCUUUGUGGAGAUGCUGAGACUCCGGAUUGGACUGAUCAUUCAGGUGAUGGCCACGGAGCUGGCACGGAGCCUGAACUGCUCAGGAGAAGAGGCUUCUGAAAGUUUAAUGAACCUCAGCCCUUUCGAUAUGAAAAAUCUCUUGCACCAUAUUCUAAGUGGGAAAGAGUUUGGCGUUGAAAGAAGUGAUACGAGGUCUCACCAUGCUGCCCAGGCUGGUCUUGAACUCCUGGGCUCAAGCAGUCUUCCCACCUCAGCCUCCCAAAGUGCUGGGAUUACAGUGCGCCCUAUCCACUCCUCCACAUCCAGCCCUGCCAUCUCCAUCCACGAGGUGGGCCAUACCGGAGUCACCAAAACUGAGAGGAGUGGCAUUAACAGACUGAGGAGUGAAAUGAAACAGAGGUCCAGCACCCCAUCCUCGCCCACUGGCACGUCAUCCUCAGACUCUGGAGGACAUCACAUCGGCUGGGGUGAGCGGCAGGGCCAGUGGCUGCGCAGGAGAAGGCUGGACGGGGCCAUCAACAGGGUCCCCGUGGGAUUCUACCAGAGGGUGUGGAAGAUCCUCCAGAAGUGCCACGGUCUCUCCAUCGAUGGUUAUGUCCUCCCAUCCUCGACGA
rnacentral:sRNA from 1 species